rnacentral:rRNA from 1 species
AACCAAUCCUAGCCUACUUCCUACUUACCCACCAAUAUAUAGACCAAAAACAAACCAUUUACCACAAAUAAUAGUAUAGGAGAUAGAAAUUUCACAUAGCGCUAUAGAAAAAGUACCGUAAGGGAAAGAUGAAAGAAUUAAUCAAAGUACAAAAAAGCAAAGACUAUCCCUUGUACCUUUUGCAUAAUGACUUAACUAGAAUAAGCUGACAAAAAGAAAUUUUAGCCAAAGAACCCGAAACCAGACGAGCUACUCAAGAAGCAGUAAAUAUAGGAACACACUCAUCUAUGUGGCAAAAUAGUGAGAAGAAUUAUGAGUAGAGGUGAAAAGCCUAUCGAGCCUGGUGAUAGCUGGUUACCCGGAAGCAGAAUUUUAGUUCAACUUUAAAUUAACCCAAAGCAUACUUUUUAAGCCUACUGUUAAUUUAAAUGUUAUUCUAAAGAGGAACAGCUCUUUAGAUUGGGCUACAACCUUUAGCAGAGAGUAAACAAAAUUAAUUCCCAUAGUUGGCCUAAAAGCAGCCCCCAAUUAAGAAAGCGUUCGAGCUCAACACUCAGUAAAUACUAAUGUCUAAACUUACAACUGACCCCCUGCUGAUCAACUGGGUUAAUCUAUUACUAAAUAGAAGCAAUACUGUUAAUAUGAGUAACAAGAAUUCAAAUUCUCCUGGCACAAGCUUAUACCAAACCGGAUGCCUACUGGUAAUUAACAAUAAGAUAAGAUUAACCUUAACACACAAAAAAAUCUUUAUCCUAAUAUCUGUUAACCCAACACAGGCGUGCAUUAAGGAAAGAUUAAAAGAAAUAAAAGGAACUCGGCAAAACUAACCCCGCCUGUUUACCAAAAACAUCACCUCUAGCAUAACCAGUAUUAGAGGCACUGCCUGCCCAGUGACACGUUUUAACGGCCGCGGUAUUCUGACCGUGCAAAGGUAGCAUAAUCACUUGUUCCCUAAUUAGGGACUCGAAUGAAUGGCUCCACGAGGGUUUAACUGUCUUUUAUUUCCAAUCAGUGAAAUUGACCUUUCCGUGAAGAGGCGGAAAUGUAAAAACAAGACGAGAAGACCCUAUGGAGCUUAAAUUAACUAGCCCAAACAUAGUACAAAUAUUACAAGGAUAAGUCCACACUACUCAUCACGGAUCCUGGGCUAAAAAUUUCGGUUGGGGUGACCUCGGAGCACAAAAAACCCUCCGAACAACUUAACCUAGACCUAACUAGUCAAAGUACAAACACUAUAAAUUGACCCAAACUAACUUGAUCAACGGAACAAGUUACCCUAGGGAUAACAGCGCAAUCCUAUUAUAGAGUCCAUAUCGACAAUAGGGUUUACGACCUCGAUGUUGGAUCAGGACAUCCCAAUGGUGUAACCGCUAUUAAUGGUCCGUUUGUUCAACGGUUAAAGUCCUACGUGAUCUGAGUUCAGACCGGAGUAAUCCAGGUCGGUUUCUAUCUGUUAAAAAUUUCUCCCAGUACGAAAGGACAAGAGAAAUGAAGCCAACUCAAUAGAGCGCUUCCAACAUAACUGAUGACUAUAAUCUCAAUCUAAUAUGUAACUCCAGACAUUACCCUAGAUAAGGGUUU